AGAGAUAUAGCUCAGUGGUAGAGCGCAUGCUUAGCACACACAAGGUCCAGGUUCAAUUCCCUGUACUUCUG
rnacentral:tRNA from 1 species